rnacentral:tRNA from 1 species
GCCCCGAUGCUGGAAUUGGUAGACAGGCUAGUUUCAGGAACUAGUGCCCGAAAGGGCGUGGGAGUUCGAGUCUCCCUUGGGGCA